rnacentral:tRNA from 1 species
AGUAGGGUCAGCUAAUUAAGCUAUCGGGCCCAUACCCCGAAAAUGACGGUUUAACCCCCUCCUCUACUA